rnacentral:rRNA from 1 species
UACAUGGUGGGGCAAGCGUUGUUCGGAAUUACUGGGCAUAAAGGGUGCGUAGGCGGCUUGUUAAGUCAGGGGUGAAAGUUUUCGGCCCAACCGGAAAAUUGCCUUUGAUACUGGCGAGCUGGAGUGCGUGAGGGGUGACCGGAACGAGUGGUGGUAGCGGAUGAAAUGCGUAGAUAUCACUCGGAAGCCAACGGGCGGAAG